AGAAAAGUAGGUGCCGCCCCGCACAGGGGCGACGCGUGCAGACCGACAAGAAAACAAGAAAAGCGCAAAACAAACAAUCAACCUAAUGCAGCCACUA
rnacentral:sRNA from 1 species